rnacentral:rRNA from 1 species
AGAGUUUGAUUCUGGCUCAGGAUGAACGCUGGCGGCGUGCCUAAUACAUGCAAGUCGAACGAGGGUGCUUGCACCCUAGUGGCGAACGGGUGAGUAACACGUAGGUAACCUGCCUUACAGUUUGGGAUACCCGAGGGAAACCUUGGCUAAUACCGAAUAACUGGCUCGGAGGCAUCUCCGAGUCCUAAAAGGGGCCUUUAAAGCCUCGCUGAAAGAUGGACCUGCGGCGCAUUAGCUAGUUGGUGAGAUAAUAGCCCACCAAGGCGAGGAUGCGUAGCCGAUCUGAGAGGAUGAACGGCCACACUGGAACUGAGACACGGUCCAGACUCCUACGGGAGGCAGCAGUAGGGAGUUUUCGGCAAUGGGGGAAACCCUGACCGAGCAACGCCGCGUGAACGAUGAAGGUCUUCGGAUUGUAAAGUUCUGUUGUAGGGGAAGAAUGAUACCUUGAGGAAAUGCUUGGUAUUUGACGGUACCUUAUUAGAAAGCCACGGCUAACUACGUGCCAGCCGCCGC